ensembl:snRNA U6 U6 spliceosomal RNA
GUGCUCGCUUUUGCAGCACAUAUACUAAAAUUGAAAUGAUACAGAGAAGAUUAGCAUGGCCCAUGAGCAAUGAUGACAUGCAAAUUUGUGCAGCGUUCCACAUUUUU